rnacentral:lncRNA from 1 species
GGAAUGAUAAUUGUAUCAACAAGUGAUAAUUGUAUACCCUUUAAAGUUCUUUUGUCAUUCAAAUUUGAAUUCUAUGACUACAUAUUGUUAUUAAAAUUUAUGUGAGACUAUAUAAAUUGUCCUUAAAACAAAUUUGAAACUAAAUUAAUUACUAUUUGGAUUUGCAAAAAUUGUCACAGUUGACAAUUACUUGAGAUGAUU